rnacentral:misc_RNA from 1 species
UCCGUAAAGGUGGAUGAGUGGUGUUUGGUUUGUUACGUGUGGUUGGCUGCGGCGUUUGCAACAACUUCCAUGCUUUCAGACCUCUUCAGUUGUGCGGCAAGGCUUGUAUCGCCUUGAGCGUAUUGUGGGUUUUCUGUGUUGGCUACCUAAUCAAUGGUAUCGGUUGGAUUGAUCAAAGUUUGAUUUCGUCUUCCGUCGCAUUUGCGGCGUGAGGUGAACCUCGAUGCGGUCUCUUUGAUCCACCUCGUCGAAGCACAUGCUUUGACGUUGUGGCACAUUGAGCAUUGCUUGGUCUCUUGUAUACGGAACAUAUAGUGGGCAUGGAUCUAACGAUUUUUGUUUGCCCUCAUAUUAGCGUAACGCUUCUCUAACACGACUUGUGCCACGUUUUAGCUCGUACGGACGUGGUGCUAUGUCGAAGAGGAAUGCUACCUGGUUGAUCCUGCCAGUAGUCAUAUGCUUGUCUCAAAGAUUAAGCCAUGC